AGAGUUUGAUCAUGGCUCAGAACGAACGCUGGCGGCAGGCCUAACACAUGCAAGUCGAGGGGCAGCAUAUCGCUUCGGUGAUGAUGGCGACCGGCGCACGGGUGAGUAUCGCGUUUGCAACCUACCCUUAACUGGGGGAUAGCCCGAAGAAAUUCGGAUUAAUACCCUAUAAUAUUUAAACACGGCAUCGUGUUUUCAUUAAAGCUCAGGCGGUUAAGGAUGGGCAUGCGUGACAUUAGUUUGUUGGUGAGGUAACGGCUCACCAAGACUACGAUGUCUAGGGGGUCUGAGAGGAUGAUCCCCCACACUGGUACUGAGACACGGACCAGACUCCUACGGGAGGCAGCAGUGAGGAAUAUUGGGCAAUGGACGCAAGUCUGACCCAGCCAUGCCGCGUGCAGGAUGACGGCGCUAUGCGUUGUAAACUGCUUUUAUACAGGAAGAAACCCUCCUACGUGUAGGAGGUUGACGGUACUGUGAGAAUAAGCAUCGGCUAACUCCGUGCCAGCAGCCGCGGUAAUACGGAGGAUGCAAGCGUUAUCCGGAUUUAUUGGGUUUAAAGGGUGCGCAGGCGGGGCAAUAAGUCAGUGGUGAAAUCCUGCGGCUUAACCGUAGAACUGCCAUUGAUACUGUUGCCCUAGAGUAUAGUUGAGGUGGGCGGAAUAUGUAAUGUAGCGGUGAAAUGCAUAGAGAUUACAUAGAACACCAAUUGCGAAGGCAGCUCACUAAGCUAUCACUGACGCUGAGGCACGAAAGCGUGGGGAGCGAACAGGAUUAGAUACCCUGGUAGUCCACGCCGUAAACGAUGAUCACUCGUUGUUGGCAAUACAUCGUCAGCGACUGAGCGAAAGCAUUAAGUGAUCCACCUGGGGAGUACGAUCGCAAGAUUGAAACUCAAAGGAAUUGACGG
rnacentral:rRNA from 1 species